GACGAACGCUGGCGGCGCGCUUAACACAUGCAAGUCGAGCGAGAACCUGGGCUUCGGCCCUGGGGACAGCGGCGAACGGGUGAGUAACACGUGGGUAAUCUGCCCUUGACAUCGGGAUAGCCCGGGGAAACCCGGAUUAAUACCGAAUAGCCUCCGGAGCCUUCGGGCGCCGGAGAAAAGGUAGCUUCGGCCUCUGGUCAAGGAUGAGCCCGCGGCGGAUUAGCUUGUUGGCGGGGUAACGGCCCACCAAGGCGACGAUCCGUAGCUGGUCUGAGAGGACGAUCAGCCACACUGGGACUGAGACACGGCCCAGACUCUUACGGGAGGCAGCAGUGGGGAAUCUUGCGCCAAUGCGGGAAACCGUGACGCAGCGACGCCGCGUGGGGGAAGAAGGCCUUCGGGUUGUAAACCUCUUUCAGGAGGGACGAAGCCACUCGGGUUAAUAGCCCAGAGGGUGACGGUACCUCCAGAAGAAGCCCCGGCUAACUACGUGCCAGCAGCCGCCGUAACAC
rnacentral:rRNA from 1 species